rnacentral:rRNA from 1 species
UACGUAGGGUGCGAGCGUUGUCCGGAAUUAUUGGGCGUAAAGAGCUUGUAGGCGGUCUGUCGCGUCUGCUGUGAAAAUCCGGGGCUCAACCCCGGACUUGCAGUGGGUACGGGCAGACUAGAGUGUGGUAGGGGAGACUGGAAUUCCUGGUGUAGAGGUGAAAUGCGUAGGAUAUCUGGAGGAACACCGGUGGCGAAAGGCGACAUCCUGGACCAACACUGAACGGCUGAGUGAGCGAAAGCCAGGGGAGCAAACGGGG